GCGGAGGAAAAGAAACCAACAGGGAAUUGCCCCAGUAACGGCGAGUGAAGCGGCAACAGCUCAAAUUUGAAAUCUGGCGCAAGCCCGAAUUGUAAUUUGUAGAGGAUGCUUCUGGGUAGCGGCCGGUCUAAGUUCCUUGGAACAGGACGUCACAGAGGGUGAGAAUCCCGUAUGUGAUCGGCCCGCGCCCUCUACGUAGCUCCUUCGACGAGUCGAGUUGUUUGGGAAUGCAGCUCUAAAUGGGAGGUAAAUUUCUUCUAAAGCUAAAUACCGGCCAGAGACCGAUAGCGCACAAGUAGAGUGAUCGAAAGAUGAAAAGCACUUUGGAAAGAGAGUUAAACAGCACGUGAAAUUGUUGAAAGGGAAGCGCUUGCAACCAGACUUGUCCGCGGUGUUCCGCCGGUCUUCUGACCGGUCUACUCGCCGCGGGCAGGCCAUCAUCGUCUGGGGCCGCCGGAGAAACCGUCAGGAAUGUAGCUCCCUCGGGAGUGUUAUAGCCUGGCGACAUGCGGCGCGCCCCGGGCGAGGUCCGCGCACUGCAAGGAUGAUGGCGUAAUGGUUGUCAGCGGCCCGUCUUGAAACACGGACCAAGGAGUCUAACAUCUAUGCGAGUGUUCGGGUGUCAAACCCCUACGCGUAAUGAAAGUGAACGGAGGUGGGAGCUUCGGCGCACCAUCGACCGAUCCUGAUGUCCUCGGAUGGAUUUGAGUAAGAGCAUAGCUGUUGGGACCCGAAAGAUGGUGAACUAUGCCUGAAUAGGGUGAAGCCAGAGGAAACUCUGGUGGAGGCUCGCAGCGGUUCUGACGUGCAAAUCGAUCGUCAAAUUUGGGUAUAGGGGCGAAAGACUAAUCGAACCAUCUAG
rnacentral:rRNA from 1 species